CACAAUCACUUGUUCUCUAAAUCAGGACCAGUAUGAAAGGCCUCACGAGAGCUAUACUGUCUCCCCCCUCUCAUCAGUGAAACUGAUCUCCUCGUGAAGAAGCGAGGAUACUCAUAUAAGACGAGAAGACCCCAUGGAGCUUAAAACUUGUACCACUGCCUCACCUGCAUCAAUAAACUUAGGAAAGUAAUGACUACAAGUCUUUCGGUUGGGGCGACCACGGAGAAAAGUCAAACCUCCAUGAUGAAAGAGACGUGCCUAAUCAAAGAGCACCGCCUCUACGAAACUACAAACUGACAUACUGACCCAAACAUUUUUGAUCAACGAACUAAGUUUACCUGGGGAUAACAGCGCCAAUCC
rnacentral:rRNA from 1 species